rnacentral:lncRNA from 1 species
UUGGUGGUUGAUUGCUGAAUUCUGAAUGGUUCUAUUAUUUGUAGUGCCAUUUCACUUGGUACUUGAAGGAUUUUCUCAUUUUUGGUUGAGGUCGGCGCUUGGUUUUAGAGAGAAACUCUCUUUUAUGCUAGGGUUUUCUUCUUUUAUUUCUUUCAUCUCUCAAAUUUUUGAUUUGAGACUUACGAUCUGUAAUACUUAGCCUCUGGUUUGAGACUCUAUUUUGAGAUAUUUUGAGUGAAUAUUUGUAAGAACGUGAGGGUUCUUUUGAGUUACUAUUUUCAGAGAGUUUGACAAUAUUUUUGGUGAUUCUUCAUAGAUCGAUAGUUGUGUUUUGAGAGAUAAGUGUUCCGAUUUUAUCUAUGUGCAUU